rfam:Pan troglodytes isolate Yerkes chimp pedigree #C0471 (Clint) chromosome 3, whole genome shotgun sequence.
GAAAAAGUCAUAGAGGUUAUGAGGUUGGCUUGAAACCAGUUUUAGGGGGUUGGAUUCCUUCCUUUUUCG